GACGAACGCUGGCGGCGUGCUUAACACAUGCAAGUCGAACGGAAAGGCCCUGCUUUCGUGGGGUGCUCGAGUGGCGAACGGGUGAGUAACACGUGAGUAACCUGCCCUAGACUUUGGGAUAACUUCAGGAAACUGGGGCUAAUACCGGAUAGGAGCUCCUGCUGCAUGGUGGGGGUUGGAAAGUCUCGGCGGUCGGGGAUGGACUCGCGGCUUAUCAGCUUGUUGGUGGGGUAGUGGCUUACCAAGGCAUUGACGGGUAGCCGGCAUGAGAGGGUGACCGGCCACAUGGGGACUAAGAGACGGCCCAGACUCCUACGGGAGGCAGCAGUGGGGAAUAUUGCACAAUGGGCGGGAGCCUGAUGCAGCGACGCCGCGUGCGGGAUGACGGCCUUCGGGUUGUGAACCGCUUUCGCCUGUGACGAAGCGUGAGUGACGGUAAUGGGUAAAGAAGCACCGGCUAACUACGUG
rnacentral:rRNA from 1 species